rnacentral:sRNA from 1 species
UACACACCGCCCGUCAAACCACGAGAGUUGGUAAUACCAGAAGUACGUUUCCUAACCGUAAGGAAGGCGCGUCCCAAGGUAGGACUAGCGAUUGGGGUUAAGUCGUAACAAGGUAUCCGUACGGGAACGUGCGGAUGGAUCACCUCCUUUCUAUGGAGAUAAAAACAAAACAGAUUGACUAUUAUAUGUUCUAUUUAGUUUUCAGGGAUUAUUUAAAUAUAAUCUCUGAAAGAGAAUUGUUCUUUGAAAACUGAAUAUUAGAUGAAAAGCAUUGUAAAAGAUUAAAUAAAUCAACAAUUUUUAACAAAACAUAAAAAUAAUUUUACUGAAUCAAUUAUCAAUUGCUUUAAGAUUUUUUCUAAAAAAUAGUAAGGGCACAUGGUGAAUGCCUUGGAAAAUGGAGCCGAAGAAGGACGUGAUUACCUGCGAAAAGCAUCGGGGAGCUGGAAGUGAGCUUAGAUCCGGUGAUGUCCGAAUGGGGAAACCCAAUACGAUUAAUCUCGUAUUAUCCAUAAGUGAAUACAUAGCUUAUGAGAAGGGAACCUUGGGAACUGAAACAUCUUAGUACCAAGAGGAAAAGAAAAUAAAUAAUGAUUCUGUUAGUAGCGGCGAGCGAACGCGGAAGAGGCCAAACCAGUCUACGGGCUGGGGUUGUAGGACAUCUUUUUAGAGUUACAAAAUCAACAUAUAGUAGAAACUACUGGGAAGUAGUGGCAUAGAGGGUGAUACCCCCGUAUACGAAAUGUGUUGAUCUCUUAGAUGUAUCCUGAGUACGGCGAAACACGUGAAAUUUUGUCGGAAUCCGCCGAGACCACUCGGCAAGCCUAAAUACUCCCAUUUUACCGAUAGUGAACCAGUAC